rnacentral:rRNA from 1 species
UGUCUGAACAUGGGGGGACCAUCCUCCAAGGCUAAAUACUCCUUACCGACCGAUAGUGAACCAGUACCGUGAGGGAAAGGCGAAAAGAACCCCGUUGAGGGGAGUGAAAUAGAACCUGAAACCGUGUGCGUACAAGCAGUAGGAGCAGACUUGUUCUGUGACUGCGUACCUUUUGUAUAAUGGGUCAGCGACUUAAUUUAUGUAGCGAGCUUAACCGAAUAGGGGAGGCGCAGGGAAACCGAGUCUUAAUAGGGCGACUAGUUGCAUGGAUUAGACCCGAAACCUGGCGAUCUAUCCAUGGUCAGGGUGAAGGUGAGGUAACACUUACUGGAGGCCCGAACUCACGUAUGUUGAAAAAUGCGGAGAUGAACUGUGGAUCGGAGUGAAAGGCUAAUCAAGCCAGGAGAUAGCUGGUUCUCCUCGAAAGCUAUUUAGGUAGCGCCUCAUGUAUCACUGUAGGGGGUAGAGCACUGUUUCGGCUAGGGGGUCAUCCCGACUUACCAAACCGAUGCAAACUCCGAAUACCUACAAGUGCCGAGCAUGGGAGACACACGGCGGGUGCUAACGUCCGUCGUGAAAAGGGAAACAACCCAGACCGUCAGCUAAGGUCCCAAAGUCAUGGUUAAGUGGG